UAACUGCGUGCAGACGUGUGAACUGCAGGACACAUGAACACCGACGUUUCGAACGCAAAUGGCGGUCUAAAGUAAAUUUUAGACCACGUCUGGCUGAGGGUCGGAUUUGAAAUAAAAGAAAAAGUUACUCGGACUAAUGGCAUGAUAUAUAAUGGUGUAGAGUUUACUCUACGAAAUUGUUGCCUGUCUGAUGUACAAGUUUCAUCGCUGGGUUUUACAGCCCGGUUAGAAUUGUUGGUAUCCUUAUGGAAGCUCUGUUUAACUACAGUGCUAGCUAAUUUGAAAAAUAAAUACAUUGGCGGUGUACAUGCCGCCAAGUCGUAUAAUAAUUGGCGAAAACAUUUGAUACCACUAAAAAUUUGAAAAUCAAAUAUCAAACAUACGACCUCAGAGUAGGCGA
rnacentral:misc_RNA from 1 species